AUGGUGACUGGCGUUCCGGAGGUGCUGCGGGAAGCGGAGGGACGGUGGGCGGAAAAUGACGCGUUCGGCAGAUCUGAUUCAUCCCCUCUGACCAAGUCCCCGAAACAGGCUGUAAAGAGAUGCAGUUGGGAAAUGCCUAAGGCAGUAGUUCUCAACUUUAGCGUGUGCUUUAGAACCACCUGCAAGACUUACAACCCAAAUUGGUGGACUCCAUCUCCAGUUUCUGAUUAGUAACUCUGGGAGAUCACCUGAAGAUUUGAAUUUCUAACAAGUGCUCACUGAUGGUACUGGUUCCUGGAAUAUACUUUGAGAACCACUAGAUCUGGUGUAACAUCUCAUGUAAGGUGGUUUCAGCCUCAGUUCUCUGAAGGAGAAAUGAAGGACCUUCACCUGAAGAUAUUUAAGUAUGUUUCUCAAGGAUUAUCUGACUUACGGCUCCACUUCUUUCUCCUUGAUGUAGAAGAGCCACAUUAUGAAUAUCUCUUACAUUUUACUAAGGCUGUAACUCUGUCAUGCCUGUCCAGGUAUGAGCCUCAGUGCCAGCCUUCUUUGCCGCUGAGUGUUUCAUGUGGUUAAGCUCCUGCUAAUAGAAUGCAGCAGAAGUAAUACUUGCCCUCUGCACUGUGCUUUCAAGAGAAUGGGUGUUGUGCUCCUCUCCUUCUCAUGGGCCAGGGUGCUGGCUUUAGAAGCCAGAUGCUGGAGAUGACAGAAAGUCUGUCUGGCUGAGUCUCUGAAUGACUUCAUGGAGCAGAGCCUCUACCCCUCCAGGCUGGGACACCCCUCUGAACCAUUUUCUUAGCAAAAAUAGGCUCCUCUUGUGCUUGAGUGAUUAUUGCUUAAGGUCUAUGUAUUAAAACAAGUAAGCCUAUUCUAACUAAGUAGUUAUGUUCCUCAAAAUUUAAAUACUUAAUUAUUUCUCUAGAGUCUAGUCUUAAUGGUAUUUAUUUCUGUAUUUGUGUGUUAAUAUAGUAACUUUUUAUUCUGUAAAAUAUCAAAUAUAUAAAAAUAGAGGAAAUCACAUAAUGAAGCCUUAUGUACCCAUCACUAAAUUUCAAUAUUUAUGUUAUAAAGCCAUUCCUAUCUUCUAUGUGUAUGUGCCAUUUCCUAUAAAUUUAUGGCCAUUCUUAUGUCAUUGGCACCCUCUUUCUCCUGUGCUCCCUCCUGGAUAAUUUUAAAGCAAAGCUCAGAAUCUCAAACAUCACAUCAUUUCAUUGUGUCCAUUAAAAAUGCCAUGUAAGAAAACUCCUUCACUUUCCCUGGAACUGAGUGCUUUUUAUGAAACCCUGGCUGUGAAAAGGCCACUUCCCAUGGCUUGACAACACAUGAUGAAGACAGUGUGAGCUGUAAGGUUUAGCUUGCCUGCCAGUGUGAGGAGCACAAACUGUCCCCAGAAUGUCCCAGAAUCUACCUUCACCCCAUGCAAGCUGGAAGUUUUGAGCUUAUAAAGGGGCCUGGCUGUGCCAGGCAGGCUGAAAGUAUGGAGUGACAGGCAUUGGGUCAAGAACUGCCAUCAGAUAACUUAGGUUGUAAAAGUCUAAACUUUGCUAUGUUACUUACUUGGUGUAUGUCCUUCAGCCAUUUACUUAAUUAUUCAGAUCCGCAUGUUUUCUUAUUUAUAAGAUAGAAAUGAGCCCUGACUGGGUAGCUCAGUUGGUUGGAGUGUCAUCUCAUACACCAAGGUUUCAGGUUCAAUCCCUGGUCAGGGCACAUACAAA